rnacentral:rRNA from 1 species
AUGCAAGGCCUCGCGGCAUCUUCCAUGCUGUCUCUGACCGUCGUUGUCGUUGUGUUCCUGAUCGGCAUGGCCGACCACUCCGACGGCCGGAGGAGGGUCAUCUCCAGCAGCUCCGACGAACCGUGCAAGGAGAUGACGCUCUACCUCCAUGACAUCCUCUAUAAUGGUGCCAACAACAGCGCGAACGCGACUUCGGCAGCCGCGACCAAGCCGACGGCGCUGAGCACUACGCACUGGAAGAACGGCACCUUCUUCGGCACGCUCGUGGUGUUCGAUGACCCCGUGACUGUCGGGAAGGCACUGCCCGUGGCAGAGGCGGGGGAAGAGCCGGCGAUACGCGCUCAGGGGUUUUACUUCUAUGACAAGAAGGAGUCGUACAAUGCGUGGUUCGGCUUCUCCAUCGUCUUCAACUCGACGGCCGCCACGGGCACCAUCAACCUCAUGGGUGCGGACCUCAUGUACGAGGUCACGAGGGAUAUCUCUGUGGUCGGCGGCACGGGCGACUUCUUCAUGACGCGCGGCAUCGCCACCCUCCGCCUUGACGCCUACGAGGGAACAGUGUACUUUCGGCUGCAGAUGGACAUCAAGCUCUACGAGUGCUACAUCUGA